rnacentral:rRNA from 1 species
GCGAAAUUCCUUGUCGGGUAAGUUCCGACCUGCACGAAUGGUGUAACGAUCUGGGCACUGUCUCAGCCAUGAGCUCGGUGAAAUUGUAGUAUCGGUGAAGAUGCCGAUUACCCGCAACGGGACGGAAAGACCCCGUGAACCUUUACUAUAGCUUCACAUUGGUAUUGGGUAAUUCAUGUGUAGGAUAGGUGGGAGACUUUGAUGCUGCGUCGCUAGGCGUAGUUUAGUCGCUGUUGAAAUACCACCCUUGAAUUAUCUGAUGCCUAACCCGAGUAGGGGACAUUGUGUGGUGGGUAGUUUGACUGGGGCGGUCUCCUCCCAAAGAGUAACGGAGGAGCACGAAGGUACCCUCAGCAUGGUCGGAAAUCAUGCAAUGAGUGCAAGGGCAUAAGGGUGCUUAACUGCGAGACUGACAAGUCGAGCAGGUGCGAAAGCAGGUCCUAGUGAUCCGGUGGUUCUGUAUGGAAGGGCCAUCGC